AACUCAUGUGUAAGGACAAGGAAAAGUUAAAUAUAUAUUUAUGCUUUUAUUUCUUAUUAUGACAGUUUUGGUCCUCCAUACAACAUUUUCAUUUUUUAAUAA